AGAGUAUGGAAGUUGCCAAAAUCUCCCAUUUCUGUCAGUUUGACCUGAUAACCUAGAUGCAAUAACGCUUAAUCGAAGGCAUAUUUAAGUACUAAGCGGGCCCAAUGAUGCUUAACUUGCUAGAUCGGACGGGAUGGCACGCUUUCAGCGUGGUAUGGCCGU